rnacentral:rRNA from 1 species
AGUGAACGCUGGCGGUAGGCCUAACACAUGCAAGUCGAACGGCAGCACAGUAAGAGCUUGCUCUUAUGGGUGGCGAGUGGCGGACGGGUGAGGAAUACAUCGGAAUCUACUUUUUCGUGGGGGAUAACGUAGGGAAACUUACGCUAAUACCGCAUACGACCUACGGGUGAAAGCAGGGGAUCUUCGGACCUUGCGCGAUUGAAUGAGCCGAUGUCGGAUUAGCGAGUUGGCGGGGUAAAGGCCCACCAAGGCGACGAUCCGUAGCUGGUCUGAGAGGAUGAUCAGCCACACUGGAACUGAGACACGGUCCAGACUCCUACGGGAGGCAGCAGUGGGGAAUAUUGGACAAUGGGCGCAAGCCUGAUCCAGCCAUACCGCGUGGGUGAAGAAGGCCUUCGGGUUGUAAAGCCCUUUUGUUGGGAAAGAAAAGCAGCAGGUUAAUACCCCGCUGUUCUGACGGUACCCAAAGAAUAAGCACCGGCUAACUUCGUG